rnacentral:lncRNA from 1 species
AAUAACCAGAAAAGAGAAAAUUCAUGAAAAAUAUCAAAUGAUGAAAUAAAAAAUAUUAAAAAUCAGAAAUAGAAACUAGAAAUUAUUUGGGAAAUAAUGCAAUUGGUCCCAUAAUUUUUGGAUUAAAAAUGAAAGAGAUAUUGAUUUUUGAAAUAAAAAGGAAUUUAAGAAAAUAAAAACAGAAAUUAAAAAUUGGAAAA